rnacentral:rRNA from 1 species
CACGUAGGGCGCGAGCGUUGUCCGGAAUUAUUGGGCGUAAAGAGCUCGUAGGCGGCCUGUUGCGUCCGCUGUGAAAGCCCGGGGCUUAACCCCGGGUCGGCAGUGGAUACGGGCAGGCUAGAGGUAGGUAGGGGAGAAUGGAAUUCCCGGUGUAGCGGUGAAAUGCGCAGAUAUCGGGAGGAACACCGGUGGCGAAGGCGGCUCACUGGCCCGAUACUGACGCUGAGGCACGAAAGCGUGGGGAGCAAACAGG